rnacentral:rRNA from 1 species
UACGUAGGGGGCAAGCGUUGUCCGGAUUUACUGGGCGUAAAGAGCGUGUAGGCGGCCAUACAGGUCCGUUGUGAAAACUGGAGGCUCAACUUCCAGACGUCGACGGAAACCGUGUGGCUAGAGUCCGGAAGAGGAGAGUGGAAUUCCUGGUGUAGCGGUGAAAUGCGCAGAUAUCAGGAAGAACACCAAUGGCGAAAGCAGCUUUCUGGGACGGUACUGACGCUGAGACGCGAAAGCGUGGGGAGCGAACAGG